ensembl:snRNA U2 U2 spliceosomal RNA
AUCGCUUCUCGGCCUUUUGGCUAAGAUCAAGUGUAGUAUCUAAGUGUUGUUGACAGAAUGUGGAGAAGCUGGAAUCUUGAUGCACUCUUG